rnacentral:piRNA from 1 species
CGGACUUGGACUCUGGGGAGGAG